rfam:Schistosoma rodhaini strain Burundi genome assembly, scaffold: SROB_scaffold0003511
AUAUUACUGAGGUGUCCAAAAUUAUAAAUAAAAUAGCUUUCGAAUGUUAUUUAGCUUUUCAACCAAUACCAAAUAGGACGAAACGCGCGUCCUGGAU